rnacentral:rRNA from 1 species
GACGUAGGGCGCGAGCGUUGUCCGGAUUUAUUGGGCGUAAAGGGCUCGUAGGCGGUCUGUUACGUCGGGAGUGAAAACUCGGGGCUCAACCCCUGAGCCUGCUUCCGAUACGGGCAGACUAGAGGUAUGCAGGGGAGAACGGAAUUCCUGGUGUAGCGGUGAAAUGCGCAGAUAUCAGGAGGAACACCGGUGGCGAAGGCGGUUCUCUGGGCAUUACCUGACGCUGAGGAGCGAAAGUGUGGGGAGCGAACAGG